AUCUGGUCAUCCAAUCCCCAAAACGAUUGUACUCGAUGCAAGAGCUCUGCUCCAACCUUCGGUACUAAAAUAAGCCAAACCCUAUGGUUAGCCUCCGCCAUUUGCGCGAUAGCGCAACGGGUUUUAUUUGAAAGUUAUUAAAACAUCGUGCAUAGGUACACUUAAACAUUGCGAUGAAAGACAAAUGUGCAAGUGAUGAAAUAAGAAAUCGCAGCCACUUAACCAUAAUAUUCCCGUGAUAGCAAGUGGAUUACGCAAAGGAAAGUGGAAGAGAUAUCGAGAGCAUUACCCACAUGAGAGUUCAAGGGCCGUCGAGCAAUGCGUUAACACGCCCCGUCGGAUACUAUUGUACUCGAUGGAAGAGCUCUGCUCCAACCUUCGGUACUAAAAUAAGCGGAACCCUAUGGUUAGCCUCUGUCAUUGCGCGAUAGCGCAACGGGUCAUCUAGUUGAAUUUAGGAAGUCCUACACUUCGUAUUUUUCUGUCUCACGGCUGAUUCAAAUUGUCCUGCAGUAUGUGUGGUUACUGCUUAUUAUUGUAUUUAUGAAUCAAAACUUGCAAUUUCUGGACUGCACGGUAGUGAGUGGUAUAUCUUUCUUAGUUGCGGACACUUUCACAUGUAGAAGACACAAUUUCUGAUUAAUGGUCUGUUCCAUCCUUUGGAUAUGAGGUUCUUCAUAAAGGGAUUCUGAGCCAACAACUAGGUCAACAACUCGGUUUAGGACAAAGUGUGAUGUUGGAAUAUGAAAUCGUAUUGACUGCUUCGACUGAAUGAAAUUGUAUGACACUAAAACAUACUAUAAAGAAUAACUAUUUGGUUAGCAUAAUUUCUAAAAUCCCAAUCCAUCAUUUUGUUAAGAAUCAACCUUUGUUCAGUAUCCAGUUUGUCGUUUCAUGAUAUUAUGGUUGACAGUUGAUUGAAAUAAUUUUCGUAAAUCAGAUUUGCGUACAGUUGGGGAAACAAAUAGUCAAUCCAGCACCUCUUAUCAUGAUAACAUGCCAGGUUCACCUUUUGAUCAUACAGUAGUUAGCCUAUUCUUUAUGGUUGGCCAGGGGAUAGAAUUUUAGACUAUCUUCUUGAACUGGAUAGAGCACAACGUCCACAUUAUGUUUUAGAUGGCACACUUCCAAUAUUCACAAGUGAUCACGUGUGUUUUUUCCCAUCAGUUUACCUAAAUAUUGAUGUACUGCAGGUCCUUGUGCAAGAUUUUGCGCAUUUGGGAAACUAUGCUUUAGAUGGCACUCUUCCAAUAUUCACAGGUUAUCGUGUGUAAUUUUCCCAUCAAUUUAACUAGGUAUUGAUGUACUGCAGGUUCUUGUGCAAUAUUUUAACCGCAUCGGGCAUUUUUCGACAGAGAGUUAUUUGCCUGAAAUGGCAGGCCAUAAUGGACAUGGAAAACAAAAAAGAAGAAGCCAUGUUGAUGGUGUGCCCACUCAGAUUAUAUGUGUAUAUCAAUUCUCUGUCCAUCCCGUGUGCUCCUUUAUAUUUAAACUUUGAUAAAUCUUUGCACCUACACUUGAAUAACAGCCCAUUGAUAUUUGCUUUCAACCGUACACACACACCUACCUUCACCAGGCAUUUCUUUAUAUACACUAUCCUCACAUGUAAGUAUUUUGUUAAUGCAGUGCAAUCUACUGGAUGUUUGCUACGGCAAACAAAUUUAGAAAGCACAAGCCAUCGAGAAAAUGGAGUGCCAAAUAUGCCCUCUCAUAGGAUCUUAUGAAGAAGGGUCCAUUUAACGGCGUAAACGCUGAAGCAUCAGGGAGCAAUGGACACAAGGUAGAUAAGCAUCCUAUCCUUGAAAGGAAAUCUGAAUCAAUAUCCGAUGAUUGUAAACGGAAACAAGAAGCUCAGAUAAAGCCAAAGACAGGGAUAAUCAUUGAAGUAUUGAACCAUUUGAGAGGUUUCUCAUUGCUUCAAUUUUCCUUAAAAGGUAUCCUCUAAUAGCUGACCACUUCUUAGUUAGUACAUUAACAAACUAAUUAAUAUAUGCAAGAUACUCUUCUUGCUUAUAGAGUAUCUUGGUUCUAUCGUCCAGUUGUAUUGUGCUUGCUUACCUAGCUGAGAACUCGCAAAAACUAGGCUAUGCAAUUUGCCAGCGAUUCAGAGGCUCUUUCAACAUCUGCAUUGUUUAGAGAAUAUGUUCUUAGAUCGUAUGUACUUGAAUUACUAGAUUACAUAUGCAUUAUUUUGUUUGAUUGUUCGAUGUAUAAAGAUCAUUCAGCUGCAACAUACUUCUCUAUUGAAGCUCCAAGACCUGCGCAAAAUUCUGUGAUAAAUGGUCAGUGUUAGCUUUAAGAAAAUUAAAUAUAUGUUCUUCCGAAUGAAUUACCCUUUAUGUAUUUUAUAAAUCUCUUAGUAUGAUAUCCGUUAUUCUCUCACUGUAUACAAUUGUGUUGUAUAUAACUUUCUACACCUGCGAAUUGGUGUGCAACUUACAUAAUUCUGUCAGGAAUUGUUGAUGCUAGCUUCCAAGAAAAACAUACAUGUAUUAUGUUCACAUUAUACAGAUGAUCUCAAAAAGGGAGAUGUGCUUCGUGCCAUUGUAAUUAGAAAUUUGUUAACUAUAGAUACACGCUGCAAUAUAUUCCAAGCCUGUAGUUAAUAGGAAUUUUAGGUUUUGGUUUGACAAGAAAUAAAUGAAAUAGUGGCAUAUUAACAUUUUUCUCAAGCAUAUAUGAAACGGUGGAAGGUGGAAUAUUAAAUUUAGAUUCAAGCAAUAUACACCUUCCUGGCGGUACUAUCCUGAUAGCUUUGAGCGAAAAAUGAGUAAUGUUUUUUCCUCAAGUUUUAGCUAUUUGUGAUCAUAGCUCUGAGAUAGAAUCUAUCAUAUAUGAGAAGGAGACCAUUCAAGGGCUUUGAUGACUCUUACAUACCAUGUAUUCAGCAUAUAUGAAACGGUGGAAGGUGGCAUAUUAAAUUUAGAUUCAAGCAAUAUACACCUUGCUGGCUGUACUAUCCUGAUAGCUUUGAGCGAAAAAUGAGUAAUGUUUUUUUCUCAACUUUUAGCUAUUUGUGAUCAUAGCUCUGAGAUGGGAUCUAUCAUAUAUGAGAAGGAGACCAUUCAAGGGCUUUGAUGUCUCUUACAUACCAUGUAUUACUGCUAAAUAUGGUUUUAGUUGAAUAAAUCAACCAGACACUUCUAGCACUCUGACCUAAUUGACAUAAUGUGAUGCUUUUGUUGUACUGGAGUUUUGCUUGUGGAACAAGCAUGCAGGAUUAAUUUUCAUGAUGCAUAACUGCAUGAUUUUGGUUCAGAUGGGUCAUGUUGGGAUGUUAGGUUAGAUGGACAUGUACUCUGGUUUCUUGCUUUUCAUGCAUUGAGCAAUUAAUGCCUGGGAUAUUAUUUUUUGUUAACUUUGUAAGUAACGCCUUUCGCAAAAAAAAAUCUUUGUAAGUAACGCCACUACGCAUGGAGAAAAAGUUAGACGCUAUGUAUAGUAUCAUCAAGAUGGUAAUUCUAUUUUCCUUUUUUCUAGCACUCCAAAUUAUGGGGCUCAUUACCUGAGUGUAGAAACUGAAUAUUUAUGUUUGAUCUUCCUUCUGUUGUUUGUUCUAUCCUGAAGAUUUGCAAGAACGGAAUCGGCCUUAGGUUUUAUAAUACAUAAAUUUAUUGGUCAUAUUGUCAUUAUGAUGGAUGGGAAUACUUCUCAUGGUAGCAGUUCUAUGCGGGUUCCACCCACUGAGCUGACGUCCGGUGGUUUUGCAAUUCUUCUAUGGAAGCCGGGAUCUGCUGAUCUACAUCCGGGGCGACGUCAGUACGCUAUGCAGUUUGCAGUGCUGUGAUUGUUGUGCCGACUCCCGAUGUGUACACAAAUUGCUCAUCUUUAUCUCAUAGAUUGUAGGCAAUUAUUUUGUCUCAACAUUGAGUUUGAUCUAUGCAGAAUUAGAUAGGAACAUGCCAAAUAGUGUAUAUUCUAUAUGCUGACGAGAAGCUAGAUGUGGUUUAUUUUCACUUCACGCCGUCUUCUUCUGAAGGUCACAAAAUAUUCAUAGCUGUAGCCUAAUUGAAUUUGUCAGUUUUUCUUCCAGUUUGGAAGGAUUUUUACCUAAAAAGGGUUAUGUAAGCAGGAGAUUAGCUGAUUGUGAUUUCUUCAUUCUAGGAUUAACUGGUAUACUUUGGGAUCAAGUGGCACAAAGAUAGCACAGGCAGCACAAAGUGUAUAUUUACAGCCACAGCAGAUGUGGGGGUUAACUGCGUCAUGCAGAAAUAAACACUUGCACUUCAAUAGCUUAGAGUAUGACUUCUAAUUCUUGACGUGUUGUGCUUUUUCUUCUGUAAGUUGUAAAGCAGGUGAAACUUUUUUUUGUUAUGUAUUGUGGUAGAUUGCACAAUCCAUGCUACUGCCCAAAUUC